ensembl:snoRNA SNORD116 Small nucleolar RNA SNORD116
GGAUCGAUGAUGACUGUAAUUAUUGAUCUCAGAAAAUCUGAACAAAAUGAGUGACCUAAUCAGUUCUGGGAAACUGAGGUCC